ACUUCAGGGCAAGGUGAAAUUCCUUACCGGUGGUAUAGUCCACGAGCGCGAGCAGAACGGGUGCGAUUCCCGUACCGACGGUAAAGUCCGGAUGAAAGAAGU
rnacentral:ncRNA from 1 species